GACGUAGGGGGCCAGCGUUGCUCGGAAUUACUGGGUGUAAAGGGUUCGUAGGCGGUGUGGCAAGUCGGGAGUGAAAUCUCUGGGCUCAACCCAGAGUCUGCUUCCGAAACUGCUGUGCUUGAGUGUGGGAGAGGCGCGUGGAAUUGCAGGUGUAGCGGUGAAAUGCGUAGAUAUCUGCAGGAACACCCGUGGCGAAAGCGGCGCGCUGGACCACUACUGACGCUGAGGAACGAAAGCUAGGGGAGCAAACAGG
rnacentral:rRNA from 1 species